CAAAUGAGGGUACUAAGACCACCUCCAGAUCUUACCCAGAGGAAAACUUUGCUACUUUGGAUUUACUGAAAGGAGGAAAAAAAAAAAAAAAAGAAAUAUUUAAGCACAGGGAUGUUGCACAAAUUGAAAUAGACAGACUUUACAAACAAGCCAGUGAGGAAAUUUCCAAAGUAGAACAAAAAUGUAACAAACUUCAAACUAUUUAAAAGAGGUUGUAAUUGAUCUCCUGAAUUUCAAAUUUAGAGGUACUGUUAAUCAACUAUGUGCAAGUGACUUCCCUGCUUGAAAUGCGAAUGAAGAGAUGCUGUGCUAUCUCUUUAGAAUGAAAGUGACAGAAUUUAAAGAUAUUAAAUGAUAUUAUAGAAUAGAUUUUUAUUUUGCUGAAAAACCUUAUUUUAAAAUAAAGUUCCUCGCAACAAAUUUCAUCUCAAGUAGAGUGGUGGCCCAUCUUCAGUGUUGACUAAAGUUAAAUGGGAAUCUGAGAAGGACUUGAUUAAAUGAUCAUGUCAGAAGUAAAAUAAAGCUGUCUAGAAGAGGAAGCAUGAAAAAUCUCAGGCCUUCUUCACUUGAUUCACCAAUGAUUCUGAUGCAGGUGCAGGUGAAUUAAGAGAGCUCAUCAAAUUAAAGCGCAGAUUGGCUUCUUAUAUGAUAGAUAAAGAAGUGGAAGGAGAAGAAGCUGAUGUUCAUAAUGAUGAUGAAGAAGACUUGAAACAUAUUUUGAUGAAGAAGAUGAGGGCAGAGGGGAAGAAGAUGAAGAUGGUGUUGAUGUGGAAGAGGGAGGAAGGUUGAAGAGGAAGAUGACUAG
rnacentral:lncRNA from 10 species